GUCUCUAGUUAGGAGAGUGUUUUACCCCUGUUAAGGGGAACUACGUCGCCCUGAUUCUCAUACCAGAUGAGAUACGUAGGCAGGAGGUUGCGAGCAAUCUCUCCGGGCACCCUUUUUCUUUUUUGUUGUGUUGUCUUGUGUGUGUCCACCCUCUUCUUUGUUUUGGUGUGAGUAUUUGUUUGUUCAGCGUGGACAUGUGUGGUAUGUUUAUACCUUGGGGGAUUUCUUCUGUUAUUCAUUUGGGGUUCAUCUUCGGGGUUAUGAGUAUUUGUUUGUUCAGCGUGGACAUGUGUGGUAUGUUUAUACCUUGGGGGAUUUCUUCUGUUAUUCAUUUGGGGUUCAUCUUCGGGGUUC
rnacentral:lncRNA from 1 species